UACGUAGGUGGCGAGCGUUGUCCGGAGUUACUGGGCGUAAAGCGCGCGCAGGUGGCUCAUUACGCCCGGCGUGAAAGCCCCCGGCCUAACCGGGGAGGGUCGUCGGGGACGGGUGAGCUUGAGGGUAUCAGGGGCUGGUGGAAUUCCCGGUGUAGUGGUGAAAUGCGUAGAGAUCGGGAGGAACACCCGUGGCGAAGGCGGCCAGCUGGGAUACACCUGACACUGAGGCGCGAAGGCGUGGGGAGCGAACGGGAUUAGAUACCCCCGGUAGUCCCUGAGCGGGCUGGCAA
rnacentral:rRNA from 1 species